GAUGAACGCUAGCGGGAGGCCUAACACAUGCCAGCCGAGCGGUAGAGUUUCUUCGGAAACUUGAGAGCGGCGCACGGGUGCGUAACACGUGUGCAACCUACCUUUAUCUGGGGGAUAGCCUUUCGAAAGGAAGAUUAAUACCCCAUAAUAUAAUGAUUGGCAUCAAUUAUUAUUGAAAACUCCGGUGGAUAGAGAUGGGCACGCGCAAGAUUAGAUAGUUGGUGAGGUAACGGCUCACCAAGUCAAUGAUCUUUAGGGGUCCUGAGAGGGAGAUCCCCCACACUGGUACUGAGACACGGACCAGACUCCUACGGGAGGCAGCAGUGAGGAAUAUUGGACAAGGGGUGAGAGCCUGAUCCAGCCAUCCCGCGUGAAGGAUGACGGUCCUAUGGAUUGUAAACUUCUUUUGUACAGGGAUAAACCUACCCUCGUGAGGGUAGCUGAAGGUACUGUACGAAUAAGCACCGGCUAACUCCGUG
rnacentral:rRNA from 1 species